rnacentral:tRNA from 1 species
AAGGGGAUCGUUCAAUGGUAGGACAACGGCGUCUGACUCCGUGAAUCUAGGUUCGAAUCCUGGUCCCCCCGCCA